GGAGACGUGCCUGAGUGGCCGAAAGGAGCGGUUUGCUAAACCGUCGUACAUGUUAAAGUGUACCCAGGGUUCGAAUCCCUGCGUCUCCG
rnacentral:tRNA from 1 species